GAGUUUGAUCCUGGCUCAGGAUGAACGCUGGCGGUAUGCUUAACACAGCAAGUCGAACGGACUCUUCGGAGUUAGUGGCGGACGGGUGAGUAACGCGUGAGAAUCUCCUACAGAUUGGGGACAACGUCGGGAAACUGACGCUAAUACCGAAUGUGCCGAGAGGUAAAGAUUUAUCGUCUGUAGAUGAGCUCGCGUCUGAUUAGCUAGUUGGGGCGGUAACGGCGACCAAGGCGACGAUCAGUAACUGGUCUGAGAGGAUGACCAGUCACACUGGGACUGAGACCGGCCCAGACUCCUACGGGAGGCAGCAGUGGGGAAUUUUCCGCAAUGGGCGAAAGCCUGCGGAGCAAUACCGCGUGCGGGAGGACGCUUUUUGGAGUGUAAACCGCUUUUCUCAAGGAGAUGAUGACGGUACUUGAGGAAUCAGCAUCGGCUAACUUCGUGCCAGCAGCCGCGGUAAU
rnacentral:rRNA from 1 species